rnacentral:lncRNA from 1 species
UGACCAUUGCUGCUGUCUUUUUUUUUAAUGAUUUUUAUUUUUUCCAUUAUAGUUGGUUUACAGUGUUCUGUCAGUUUUCCACUGUACAGCAAAGUGACCCAGUCUCUCUCUCUCUCAUACACACUUACACAUACUCUUUUUCUCAGUUAUCCUCCAUCAUGUCCCAUCACAAGUAGCUAGAUAUAAUUCCCAGUGCUCUACAGCAGGAUGUCAUUGCUUAUCCAUUCCAGAUGCAAUAGUUUGCAUCUGUUAAACCCAGAUUGCUGCUGACUCUGAUCCAUCCUAAAAUCUUUGGAAGGUAAGCAUUGGUCUUUGCCAGAGGAUGGAGGACAUAAUGUAAUUUGGUGGAGGUCACACAGUCUUACGUGUUAUCUCCAGCUGUGUUCUUUUUUUUUUUUUUUUCUCAGAGUCCUUGUCUUGCCCUGAGUCUGGGAAUUGGGCUAGGAAUUGGACACCUUUCUGACAUUUUUCACAUUAAAGGGUAUAAGCAGAAGGGUAGUUACCAUUCCCAGCCCAUCUUUCCACCAGGGAUCUGUGUCCAAAAGGACUUUUCCCCCUUUCCCUUCCCUUCUUGGGUUUCAGUUAUCCUGACUGUGAGGGGGACAUACUAUACUCUCUGAGCCCCCUGAAGUUCCUAGAGUACUGCCCACCCACCGCCCCAGCAUUCUUUAGCUUUCUCUCUACUGGUUGUGGCUUCUCUUCUUGGGUGCCAUCUAGGUACAACAAGCAUUGUUCUUCUCCUCAAGCAAAGCCAGAAGAGUAAUUGCACCUCCUAAUUGCUGUAGGACAUCGAAGAAAUUUUCUUUCUGUGAGGCAGUCAGGACUCUCUGCUUUCCUUGAGAGGUAUGAUUGAGUUCUCCAAAUCCCAGUUUUUGCGUGAUGCUGGGCUGCAGUUUUAGUGGAAGAGUGAUAGGUAAAGGGUGUUGCCCAUUUGUCUUUUUUGGGGUGUUCCUUUGCUGCUGGCAUUCUAAAAACACUACAACAGGCUUUGAACUGCUGUGCCCAGCCCGUCUUCUUAUCUCCAGGAUCUGAGCCGGCAGUGCAGGCGUCACCCAAUCUGUGCCUGGCUACCCCGGCUCCUCAGAGGUGAGCAGCAAAUGCCAACUUUCUCCACCCUCCCCGUUGCUUGCCAGCCCUGAAUUCCAGCCUCAGGAGAAUUUUUGCUGGGUGUGGGACUCAGUCCGACAGUACCUUAAGCAGAGCAUGGUACACCGUUCACACCUGCCAAAACCUGUUCUAAACAGGUCAGAUCUACCCUUUCUGAUUCUAAACUUCCUUGGGCAGAACCCAACCCUUUCCAGGAAGUGUUAUGAUUUUUUUCCUCCCUUUUAGUCUUGUUUUGUUUUUUAAGAAAUUUGGAGUUUGAAGUUGAGAUCUGAAAAAUGUCUUUCCUCACCUCUCCCUGUCCUAGGUAUUCACCUAGGAAUUGCAGAAGAUUCUUUUCAGCCAAAUUUAAGAAGGCUGCCUCCCUUUCCCUCCCUCUGCCCAUCAUUCUUUAUCUGCUUUUGGAAUUUAAAGCAGAACUCAUUUUCAUCACAAGGCCACUGAUAUAUCAGAAAUGAUAUGUGACCCAUCAUCUCUGUAUACCAAGUAUCCAACAGAAUCACGGUUACUGUCACAAAGCAUAUUGAGUUCGGUUCUAAGGAUUGACGUCUCUCUUUGUUACGGAUGUUCUAGGACUUCCAGCAAUCCCCAAGGAGGUCCCCAUGCACACUGGAUAAGCAUCAGAACACAGUCUCCUGUGUUUGAGCAAUAUCAUUUCCUUUAUUUUCUACUAUUUAAAAUAAUUAUUGACAUCAUUAUCUUAUAAUAACAUAAUUAGUUAUAAUAAGAUAAUUAUUGACUCUGAGGUGACCAUUCCAUCAGACUGGUGGAAAAUCUGACAUCCAUCAUUCGUGAAUCUUCUGAACUCAUCCCUUUGAUUUGAUUGUCAGAAUUCUUCCAGGAUCAUCUUCAGGGCCAAGGCAUCAAUUGGGGUGGAAGAUGCCCCCAGGUUAUUCACUUAUCUUUACAUGCAGCAGCAAGACUUCUUGAGGAUGUGGUGUGAGCCAAGGUUAUUGGGAACAGAAGGUAGGAGGUAGGUCAGCAAUGAUGGUGGUAGGACUGAUUGAAAGGUGGGGGUGUCUAGAUGGCCUGGUGUCUGUGUUGGCCUUUAGUUCCACUUGCUCAGUGGUUUCAACUUUAUGUUUUAGUGGAAUAUUUAGUUGAAUGACUGCUUACUUUCCCCAGUUUUCCAAAACUAAAAAAGUUAAUACAUAGAACUUCCUGAGUUUUACGUUUACCUAUUGGGAUAGACUGUCUUUAAGAGGUCUCUCGCCAGGACCCUCAUUUCCUGGCAUUCAUACCUUUGUGUAACCCUCUGUCCUUGAGUGUGGGCUAGACUUACUGACUUGUUUAAACAAAGAGAGGAUGUAGCAGAACAAUGAGAUGUUCCUCAUUUACUUACAUGGGAUGUUACUGAGUAGUGCUGGAAGCCAACCAUUCAGUACCAUUAGUAGGAGAAAUUGUUCAGGCUUUCUUAAACUAUGCGAAUUAUAUCUGAAAUACCUAUGUUAUGGUAUUUAUAACGUGGGUACUUUUUUAUACACUUUGCUACAUUUCAAGGAAAGCUGGCUUUGAUAGGACUUUCUAAUUUUUUAGACACUACAGUAUAUAAAUGGAAUCCCCAUUCCCAGUUGUUAAGAAGACUUUGCUCGUAUCAGGGGCAGAUUAUGUUUUUGUUGACAUUCUUCAGUGGGCCAAUUGAUAUAUGCUUUUUGACCUUCUAUUAGCAUCUUAAAUAACUUCUUACUUUUCCCUCUCUACUCUAUAGUAUACAUUAACAUAGUAUACUAUAAUAUUAUUAUUAACUUCGGGGUAAGGCAAAUCAAUAAUUUCAAGGACUAUCUGAAUUAUACUGGGUGGGUAUAGAUUUCACACAUUUUUGGUGAUAUUAAAAAUGUGUAUGUGGUACAAUUUUUACCUGGGAAUUAUACUUUAUACCCCUUUUCUCUUUACUGUAUAUAUUUGUUGUGCUCAAUGUUAUUUUUUUUGGUGACUCUUCUCUAACAUCAGUAGAUAUAAGGACAGCCUCUUCUGGCAUUCCCUUGUGGCACAGCAGAUUAAGGAUAUGGCGUUGUCACUUCGGCAGAUUGCUCCUGUGGCGUGGGUUCUAUCCCUGGCCUGGGAACUUCCACAUGCCGUGGGUGCAUCCCCCUCCCCCCCAAAAAUAGAACAGUUUUUUUUUUGUUGUUGUUAUUCAUGCUCUUUCCUUUGGCGUUUCUUGUUCAUAAUGAAUCUUGGUGUACUUUUAGAUUUGGUGCAGUUUUUUUGGAGUGUAUGUUGUUUUUACAAAUUUAGCUUUUUGUUGUUAUUGUUGUUGUUUUUCCCCCAUAACUAAUGUGAAGUCAGCAAUUUUAUUUUCCCUGCUCCAAGUGCUGUUGUCAUCAGCUGUCCCUGUAUAAUGGCUUUUGAUAUGUCCCAUUGUGACACAUUGGACCCUGUCCCUAGUUAAUCACUCAUUUUAGGAGGCUGAUUCUGGGCAACAAUGCUUUUAUUCCCUUUUCACUUUCAGUGUUAAAAUCCUUGGCAGUUCAUCAUACUCUACCAUUUUCUGAGGGCUGCAGCUUAAAUACCCAGCCACGUUAAAACUCUUCGCAGAUUGGCAGUGCCUCUUUUCUGAUUACCCUGACCAAAUCCUCUUAACUGCCCUGGUGGCCUGGGACGUUGUCAUACUUAGAAAAACUUUUACAGCCCCCUAUAACUUAUCUUUAUUUUAUACUGUUUUAGAACGUGUUUUUCCCAUGUUUUGUAAGAAAAUAAGCGCCACCUUGAAGUUCUUUAAAAACAUUUUCCAUGUUCUUACUUAAAAGUACUUUUAAAUGUAGAAAUACCUUAUCGGAUACUUUAUGACAUGUCUGAUCCCUCUUGCUUUUGGCCGAAAUCAUAACAAAAAGAUGAGAACUUUGGAUUUUAAUAUUUUAUUUUUUGGUUGAAAUAACAAAGAGAAACUUAACAGAGGAAAAAAUACUAUGCUAAAGUUACUGAGAUUUUAUAAAAUCUUUAUGAAUGUAUUUAUGUAUGUGGAUAUGACUAAUUGUAUGUAUAUAAUUUGUAGCAAAAGCUACUCUUGUUUCCUGUUUUGCCAAAACUGAUCCAGUUGGUAUAUACUCCCAAAGAACAGCACUGAGGAAAAACAUUUUCUAUGUGUUAAAAUCAGCUUUGAGCAUAAUCAUUUUCUCCCUGAUAUCUGUGGGCUUAUCGACUUCCUGUAGCCAGAGACGGGAAAAAGCCUCUUUCUUCAUCCUCCACGCAGGACUGCACACUGCUUACACUUGCUCACCUACCCUGGUUUAAAAAAAUAACAGAAAAAGAAUAACUUCAGAAGUAAAUACGUUUUGGUCAUACACUGUUAGAAACUGUAAUAAGGGACUGAAGAACUUGAAUUUUUUUGUUUUGAUUAAUAGCAAUAUUUUAUUAAGUAGCUAUUUGUUCUAGGGUUGCUGGAAACUUUCUACAAAGUUACGUUUUGGUCCCUGUGUUUUUACUUAAUUGUGGAGCUGUGGAAUGUGCAUAAUUCAUGGUUAGCAUAACAUAUCUUAAGAUAUAUUCAUCAUCAUCAUCAUAAGAUAUAUUCAUGGUUAUUAGAAGAUAGAUCCACUGAGAUUGAUGCUUUCUGUGAAUAAUCCAGACACUUAAGGCAUUUGGGGCAACUUUUUAAGACAGCUGUCGUGGCAUUUCAGUACAAAGUGGACUAGGUCUCAGAGAAUUAAAUUGCCUCUUGAAGUGGAACAUAUUUUUUCAAUAACUAAUAUUGGCGUUAGAGUGUCAGGAUCAACAGUGGCUUCAUGCAUUAAGUUGGGGGCAGAUUAGGAAGCAGAGCUUGCAGGUUUCUUGUGUCUAGGUCUUCUGCAUGGCAGAAAGUGACAGCAGCUGUUGGCUCAUGGCAGGAAGCACCGCGGCAACCUCAGGGUAGCACUGAGUCCUGAGAUACUGGGUUUUGUUACUUGUGGCAUUUGUAGUGACCAUGCUGGAGGAACAUUUCCUACAUAAAUCUAUGCAAGGAUCAUUUGAAAGGUGGAGGUCAGCAUUCUAGCUAAAUGCAGAUAAAAUUUCAGUUAAUGUAUACAGAUAUAAAAUAUGCAUGGAGACAAGAUGGUGUAGCAGAAAGAUAUUUCAGAAUGAGUGCCUGAUCUUCCCCAGCAUUAAAAUCCUAACUCUGGGUUCUCACAACUUGUGGUGACGUGUAGACUUUCAGUUACCCAGGAAUUGGGGACUUUAUGAAUAGGCAAUAUACUGUCUUUAAGACACAAAGUAUGAAAGUCGAAAGUUUUGGAAGAAGUAGUACUGGAUGGCUUCCUGGAAGAAAGAAGUUAUAAGGAGUGUUAACAGAAGGAAUACAAAGUCUCUUGGUUCACAGACUGAAAUCCAUGAUGCUCUAGGAUCUUCACCAUAGUUUCAGUGAUCUGUUUUACUGCUCAGUGGGUAUGUUGCUUAGUGAAUAUUGGUCUUGUUGCAAGGAUAAUGUCCUAUUUGAGUCCAAAAUAGCUCACACAUCUCUCUUGUGUUUAGUAAUAAAUUGCCACUAACCAUCAGGUAAAAGUUCAUUUUACAGGAUUCCAGAUGGUGCAUUUAACACCCUUUUUAAGGCUUCCUGUAACUAACUAAUGUGUAUAGUUAAUGCAGAUAUAGCUGAAUUCCAGUAUACUUUAAUUCUUAUAUGUAAGGUCUCCCCUCCAUCUUGCCUCAGGUUUUUCCCUCUUGGGCAUGUUUUUCUAUUUUUUCUGAACCCAGAAGUUACCACUGGCAGGAUUUCAGUCUCAGAAUUCUGUCAGCCUUUAAAGAUACAGCAUUGUGGCUUUUGAAAAAAGUUAUUUUAAAAUAACUUUGAAGUUAUUGAUGACAGCAGUGUUUUACUUGUUCUCAGGUGUUCCCUAAAUUCCAGCAGUGUUUCUUUCUCAUUGAGGUGCUUAAGGAAAAGUUUGUCCUUCCCUUUGUUCCUUUAGGAAAGUACCUCUAGAAUUUUAUUUACCUUAGAGAUUGUCUUGGGAAAAUGAACGGUUGUUAUGCCCUCUUUAGUCUUAGCAAAUUAAAUACUGUGUAGAAAGCAGAAUAAGGGGUCAUAAAAUCAAGGGACGCAAAGAUGAUAAGCAUCAAAUCAGAGGAGCUAAAUUUUUGCCACUAAAAAUAAACCUUUGUUUGAAGCAGAACUUUGGAAGUAUUUAGUUGACCUAGUAGGAAACAAUGACAUUCACUAGGGAGAAAUUUGUUUUCUUUUUCUGAAAUUAAUUUAUUAAAUGAAUGCAUGUCUGUGAGUCAGUUGGGAAGGCAUAUUGGGAAAAUCAAAAGUGCUACCACAUAAACUGUCUAGGAUUUGUUUAUUUUGAAUUUAUAUAGCCUCUUUUCUCCGGAGAUUUGAAGACACUGUGCAUAAAAUUUUAAAUCUUUUAAACAAUAGACAAUAAGUCGUAAAAUGUGAGCCCCUGCCUGGAAAGGUUAUAAUCUCUAAGGCUUUUUAAUGCACCCAGAUAUAAGCACUUUCAGUUAUAAAGGAAAAAUACUUAAAAUAUGAGCUUCUCACCUGGCUGAGUACCAAGAAUGAGAGUUACUUUGUGUAAACCUUCAUUCUUUCAGAUUUAGGUCUGUUUUUUCCUACUUAUUCUGACAUUUGAAGUUAGGGGUUUAACCUCAAAUAUGAAGCAUAUUGUAAAUUACUAGCUACUCUUUUAUAUUCUGGAGGGAUUGAGAGUCAGAGCUGCUUGGGCCAAUCGUUGAAAUGUAAUUUCCUCCAGGACCACGGUGGAAGAAUGAAUAUUGGAGACAGCACAAGAGGAUAAAGAGUUACCAGAAACACAGAAGUUAACGUUGUACCUCUGUGUGGGGUAAUAAAAAGCCAAUGAGUCAAAGCACUUCCCUCAAGGUUUUUUCCCUGAGAUUUGAAUGAAAAGAAAAGUCAAAUGCUGGAAAUAAUGUGUAACACGUAGCAACUGUGCUACUAGUACUGGUAACACUAUUGCUACCAGGUCAAUGACAGAAUAUUUGAGUAUAACAUUUCUACAUAGUUGAUUUUUACAGGAUUACUCACCUCCAUGGAAUAAAAUAUCUUGACACUAUUUUUUCAAUAUUAAGAAGAGAUAUACAUUUUAAUAGGCUUGAAAUUGGAACAGAGCUUUGAGAAUGUUUUGUGAGACUUUUCAAAAUCCAGUUUCUUUUAACUUAAAAUUCCCACUGGUUUUCAAAAUUGUCCUUUUGAAAACAGGAAGAAUGUUCACGGCGGGAUGGUGGUUAGUGACUUUUCACUGAUAGUCACCAUGCAUGUAUAUUCAAAGGCGUCAUGCAAAAAUCCAUAUGGAAGUGAGAAUGUGAAGAAAGAGGGGUGGAAAAGGGAGAGGACAGUGGAGGCUGACAGAGGUACCACUGUGGUACCCUCAGAAGAAGCACCAUUACCCCCGGUGAGCACACAGUGAUGAGCUGGCAGCUGGUACACUUUGCCCUCCUGCAUCUCUCUUCCCUUGGACAGUGUUCCAAGCAGUCACGCACAGUUCCAAAGCCAUGGACGCUGCGUUUCCACAGAGCUGUAGUUCCUGAAGUUCUUGCCCUGACCUGAAGCAUGGGGAAUGCACAGAGAGUACAAAAGACAGUCUUAAAAGGAAUCAUACCUUCUUGGCUUGUUGAGUUAUUUGCGUACUAUGAAGGAUUUGUUCAUUAUUUUAAGCAAUAUUAUGGCUUUAGCCAUGUUUAAGAGAGAGAGUGGAAAUUUUACCUAUUUUGGUUAAUUGAUUGAGCCUGUAUAAUAGUUAAUGAAAUCCCAUUUCCAGAUACCAGUGCUGCAGUCUCAGGCUGCUUUUUAGCUUGUGAUAUGUGGAGAAAGAAAAGAACAGCUUGUUUUAUU